AGGUCUUCUGCCCAGGAUGUAAUCGGUGCACCCAGUCAAGCCCAGAAUGCUCGGUCAAACAUUGAUAUUUCAUUGACACCCCAGCAGAACUUUUGCUUGUCGGAUAUGAUGGCUAGCUACAGUAGGAGUCAUUGUGAGUAUGCUGGUGGUACACGCUCAAUCUGUGGCAACAACCAGUGGUCAUGGCCAUCGCCGCCGCAGCCAACAUACCUACCUAAUUUCACACCUCGUCCCAGUUCGUUUUCACCGGGAUCAGUGAACGUUCAUCCAAUACACCAUUUGUAUAACAGAGCCGCAUUUGGAUGGAUGACGCAUCCACCUCCAUCACAGGCAUUUGUGCUGCCAAUACCUUUUAGCAC